UCCCUGAUGGUCGAGUGGCUAAGACUCUGAGCUCCCAAUGCAGGGGGCCUGGGUUCGAUCCCCAGUCAAGGAA